AGUGAACGCUGGCGGUAGGCCUAACACAUGCAAGUCGAACGGCAGCACAGUAAGAGCUUGCUCUUACGGGUGGCGAGUGGCGGACGGGUGAGGAAUACAUCGGAAUCUACUUUUUCGUGGGGGAUAACGUAGGGAAACUUACGCUAUACCGCAUACGACCUACGGGUGAAAGCAGGGGAUCUUCGGACCUUGCGCGAUUGAAUGAGCCGAUGUCGGAUUAGCUAGUUGGCGGGGUAAAGGCCCACCAAGGCGACGAUCCGUAGCUGGUCUGAGAGGAUGAUCAGCCACACUGGAACUGAGACACGGUCCAGACUCCUACGGGAGGCAGCAGUGGGGAAUAUUGGGCAAUGGGCGCAAGCCUGAUCCAGCCAUACCGCGUGGGUGAAGAAGGCCUUCGGGUUGUAAAGCCCUUUUGUUGGGAAAGAAAAGCAGCAGGUUAAUACCCCGCUGUUCUGACGGUACCCAAAGAAUAAGCACCGGCUAACUUCGUG
rnacentral:rRNA from 1 species